AUGGCUCAGAACGAACGCUGGUGGCGUGUCUAUACAUGCAAGUCGAGCGAGGCAGCAAUGCCGAGCGGCGAACGGGUGAGUAACGCGUAAGCAAUCUGCCCCAUAUCAGGAAAUACCCGUGCCAACGCGCGGUUAAUGUCCAGGAGAGUGGCCCUCUGCAUGGAGGGUUGACUAGAGAUUUAUCGGUAUGGGAUGAGCUUGCGUUCGAUUAGCUAGUUGGCGGGGCAACGGCCCACCAAGGCGACGAUCGGUAGCCGGCCUGAGAGGGUGAUCGGCCACAUUGGGACUGAGAUACGGCCCAGACUCCUACGGGAGGCAGCAGUAGGGAAUAUUGCACAAUGGGGGAAACCCUGAUGCAGCAACGCCACGUGUGGGAAGAAGCAUUUCGGUGUGUAAACCACUGUCAUGAGGGAAUAAGGCCCUUAUCCGUAAGGGAUUGAAUGUACCUUGAGAGGAAGCACCGGCAAACUUCGUGCCAGCCGCUGC
rnacentral:rRNA from 1 species